UUAAAAAAGUUUUCAUUUUCUUUUUCUUCUUCACGAAAACUCAACUAGGGUUCUCUCCGACAAUGGCUCCUCUAUUCAAGGACUCCACAGGCUUCCUUUGUUCCUCAUGUGGUUGGGUUUAUGGGCUUCAACAUCUAUGGCGACAAGCUUGUAGCACUGGUGAGGUCAGAUUUGUCUUUCAUAUUUGUGAUUAUAUGUUUGUGUGUUAUCCGAGUUUUGGUUUUUAAUUCAUUAAAUUUUAUUUGUUAUUUUUGAUUUUGUGUUUCUGAUUUUUGAUUCAUUAAGCCCUGUUGCAGUCCAGAUUGUGGAGUUUGAGUCUAGGAGAUAUGUGGUGCUAGAGUGAUCUCUAAUACUGUAGAAAUGUUUCUAAGAACUUUACAUGCCAGAAGGAUGUCUUUUCUUAAAAUAUCCUUAUUAUUUUGAAAUGUAAUAAAUUAGAUUGUACUCAUUUUAUAUGACACUUAUUUCCCAACUAUUAAAUUUCUUUUGGAGGUUAAAGAAAACUUUCAUAUCUUUUUUAGGUAUUUGAUAAUGUAAUAAUCAGUUCUUCAAUAUGCAUGGUGAUUUUGUGGUCCUA